GAUGAACGCUAGCUACAGGCUUAACACAUGCAAGUCGAGGGGUAACGGGAGGAAAGCUUGCUUUCCUUGUCGACGACCGGCGCACGGGUGAGUAACGCGUAUCCAACCUGCCCCCAACUAGGGAAUAACCUUGCGAAAGUAAGACUAAUACCCUAUAAUUUCCUCAGAUGUCAUCUGACGAGGAAUAAAGAUUUAUCGGUUGUGGAUGGGGAUGCGUCUGAUUAGCUUGUUGGCGGGGUAACGGCCCACCAAGGCAACGAUCAGUAGGGGUUCUGAGGGGAAGGUCCCCCACAUUGGAACUGAGACGCGGUCCAAACUCCUACGGGAGGCAGCAGUGAGGAAUAUUGGUCAAUGGGCGGAAGCCUGAACCAGCCAAGUAGCGUGCAGGAUGACGGCCCUAUGGGUUGUAAACUGCUUUUAUACAGGAAUAAAGUUAGCCACGUGUGGUUAUUUGUAGGUACUGUAUGAAUAAGGACCGGCUAAUUCCGUGCCAGCAGCCGCCGCCG
rnacentral:rRNA from 1 species